CCGAUAAUGAUGCUGAGGGGCGGGGAGCAGCGCGGGCUGCAGACCCACUGAGUGUGAGAGUCUGGCGGGGUGCCGAGGUGAGGCAGCAGGCAGCGGUGGAGGAAAUGGGCUCACACCUCUGAAUCACAAGUCAAAGCUUCCUCCAGUCGCUCACACCUCUGAAUUACAUCUCAGCCUCCAGUCAGGCAUCUCGGAGACCCGGGACGAUUUAUUUUUGGAGGGUUUUGUUUUUUCUUGUGGCGCUCUUUAGACUGGUAGAUUGAAGCUACUGAAAAGCCGGAGCGGGAAGGUUUACAGUUGCAUUCCGACGCUCAGCCCUCUGUCGCUUCACCUCCAUGACCGAGGAAGAGGUCUGCUCAAAUAAAACAAUGCAUCCGGAGAAGUGCUUACCUGAACUGGUAGCCGAGAAGAAGGGCUUGGACCCCACCUAUGUUCAUGCCGUGCGUCUGCUUGCAGAAGAGAUUGAAAAGUAUGAAGGUGAUGAAUCGAGAAAAGAUGGCAGCACUAACAAAUACCUAGAUAUCAUCAGCAAUAAAAAUAUCAAGCUCUCUGAAAGAGUUCUCAUUCCAAUCCAACAGUAUCCAAAGUUUAAUUUUGUCGGAAAGUUGCUGGGACCACGGGGAAAUUCCAUGAAACGACUACAGGAGGAGACGGGAGUCAAGAUGUCAAUCCUCGGCAAAGGGUCCAUGAGGGAUAAAGGCAAGGAAGAAGAAUUAAGGAAAAGCGAGGAGGCCAAAUACGCCCAUCUGAGUAAUGAUCUACACGUUUUAAUUGAAGUCUUUGCUCCACCUGGAGAGGCCUAUUCGCGCAUGAGUCACGCCUUGGAAGAGAUAAAGAAAUUCCUAGUUCCAGACUACAAUGACGAGAUCAGACAGGAGCAGCUGAGAGAGCUCUCGCUGCUGAACGGCUCCGAAGAGUCGAGCCGAGGCAGGAGCGCGCCGGUGAGGAGUGCACGACCGGCAGCCACCAUAUCCACAGGGGGCCACAGAGGCACAGGGAGGAGUGCAGCAGCACCUCGGGGGACAGCAGCAGCGACACACGGCAAACUACCCACGACUGUUCUCACGAGGGAGGUACAAGCCCCGAGAGCCAGGGGGGCAGCAGGGAGCGCAGGAUACAGACCCCUGCUGUUAGCAGUCACACAUGAGUCAUACGACGACUAUGGCUACGACGAUGGGUACGGUGGAGAAUACGACGACGACAGUUACGAAGCCUACGAGGAAAACUACAGCAAUCAGGCAAAGAGUAUUUCAGAAUAUUAUGAAUAUGGACAUGGCAACAGUGAUGAGACCUAUAACAACUAUGAGGAGGACUGGGGGACUUCCCGUCCAAGUCACAAAGCCCCUGUUUUACGGCUGACAAGAGGGGGCUACAGAAAACAUCCCUAUGUUAAAGAAACACACUACUGUGUGAUUUGGUCAAAGCAGAGACCACCUUUGCAGAGCAGUAGGCUCGGGAAUCUGCUCCUAGAGGACUGAAGAUUGGACUCAGCCAUCAGACACGUUCGGGCCCUUCAUCAGUCAGGAGAGGAGCUCGAGAUGAGAGGAAUGAAGAUGGAACAUGAAACAAGGACAGACAAAUGACUCACAGGUUGUUGAGUGUACAAGAAGACAACAGUGAGACAUUUUUCCUGGUGGACAAUAAAAAAAAUGUAACUAAA